rnacentral:lncRNA from 1 species
UUAAAAAUUAAUUUGGCCCUUAAACUUUAGCUAAAAUAUCAUUUUGAUACUUUUAGAAUUCUGUUAACAGUAAUUCUAAAAGAAUUAAUAAAAAAAAUCUAAAAGCAUCAUAAAAUUAUACUUUUCGAAAUUAUAAUUAUACGAACUAAAAGGGAUCAUUCCCCUGUACGUCCAUGCACCAUACACAUUGGCCUACGGGGCGAUGCCUUUGGGCACCCUGGUCAUUGGUUGCCUACUGGGCUACAAUGGCCUCGAUUAGACUUGCGCGUUGGGGUUACGAUGGCCUCGGUUGAUACGAACUCGCCCAAGGACUCAGCUGACUCCAAACGAGAUCCAAUCGGGCUGCCUAGUGGACCGAUCACUCAAGCACGAGCCAAACGAUUUAAAGAGUCAAUAUCGGCUUUAGUUGAUCGAGUUUGGAAGGAAACUGCAAAUGGACUCGUC